rnacentral:lncRNA from 1 species
CCUCACCGCCUCUCUCUCCCUCUCUCUCUCUCUCUCUCUCUCUCUCUCUCUCUCUCUCUCUCUCUCUCUCUCUCUCUCUCUCUCUCUGUGUGACUGUGUGUGUGUGGGUGUAAAAGCUAUGCUCCCUGAUAUACUUCGACCAUUUCGAAAUGAGAAAUCAAGGUUAUAUUCUGAGGCUAUAUUUUUCAGAAAUAUAUAAUCAUUAACAUAUAUACAUAAUAAUUAAUGAGAGCUUUGUUCAAAUAUGUGUGUGUAAGGAUGCAUGCAUGAUAUUUAAUUAUGUAUUGUUUGGAUGAAUUUCAGGACGAGGAAAAUACGGUGCAAAAGGAGUGAAGAAGAAAUGCAGAUUUAUUCUGUGCCAUUCCACAGGGAUCGACCCCCCAAACACACCUCUUUAACAUCCCACAAUAAUCACAGGUCAUAUAAUUCGCAAUUCUUUUUUACUUAUUUAAGGCUUGCUUGUAUAUAUACGAAAUUAGUUUCUAUAAAAACAUUUAAAAGUCACGUUAGUAUAUGUUACUGUUUGCAAAUUGCAUGCACUUAGAUGGUGUGUAUGAUGAAAUGCUUGUUUGAAUUGUUUGAUUAGG